rnacentral:rRNA from 1 species
CCUACGGGUGGCAGCAGUGGGGAAUAUUGGGCAAUGGGCGCAAGCCUGACCCAGCAACGCCGCGUGAAGGAAGAAGGCUUUCGGGUUGUAAACUUCUUUUCUGAGGGACGAAGAAAGUGACGGUACCUGAGGAAUAAGCCACGGCUAACUACGUGCCAGCAGCCGCGGUAAUCCGUAGGUGGCAAGCGUUAUCCGGAUUGAUUGGGUGUAAAGGGCGUGUAGGCGGGAAAGCAAGUCAGAUGUGAAAACUCAGGGCCCAACCCCGAGCCUGCAUUUGAAACUGUUUUUCUUGAGUGCUGGGGAGGCAAUCGGAAUUCGGUGUGUAGCGGUGAAAUGCGUAGAUAUACGGAGGAACACCGGUGGCGAAGGCAGAUUGCUGGACAGUAACUGACGCUGAGGCGCGAAAGCGUGGGGAGCAAACAGGAUUAGAUACCCGUGUAGUC